CCUACGGGUGGCAGCAGUGAGGAAUAUUGGUCAAUGGACGAGAGUCUGAACCAGCCAAGUAGCGUGAAGGAUGACUGCCCUAUGGGUUGUAAACUUCUUUUAUAAAGGAAUAAAACGAGGCACGUGUGCCUUUUUGCAUGUACUUUAUGAAUAAGGAUCGGCUAACUCCGUGCCAGCAGCCGCGGUAAUACGGAGGAUCCGAGCGUUAUCCGGAUUUAUUGGGUUUAAAGGGAGCGUAGGGGGGGUGUUAAGUCAGUUGGGAAAGUGUGGGGCUCAACCCGCAAAGUGCAAUUGAUACUGGCUGUCUUGAGUACAGGAGAGGUAUGCGGAAUGCGUGGUGUAGCGGUGAAAUGCUUAGAUAUUACGAAGAACCCCGAUUGCGAAGGCAGCUUACCAGC
rnacentral:rRNA from 1 species